GCCUCAGUAGCUCAGACUGGUUAGAUCGCCUCCUUGGUAAGGAGGAAGCCGAGGGUUCAAAUCCCUCCUGGGGCUCCA
rnacentral:tRNA from 1 species